GCAAUGCCUUAAACACUCUUUAUAGCAUGUAAUGGCUGCACGAGUAUGUCUUGAAUUUCGGUACAGUUUUCCCAUCAGGAGAUUCAUCUGCAAAUUUCUUGCUUUGCUGGGAAUUCCCUCCAUCUCAACAAGAGCUGCUCUAUUCUCAUUGAGUACAAAAUACAAUGAUGCAAUUUUGAACUUCACCUCAUUCUCAUUGACCGUAGAAAUGUUGAAAGAAUUUGGCGAUGAUGACCUGGUUGAUGCAGACAAUGAACUUCUAACUGCUGAUGCAUUUUGCUUCGGAAUUAUUCUGUGGCAGUGCAAUGCUUGCUUGUACGCGUGAACAGCUCUCUUGUACUCUUUGUCCCGAAGUAAAGCAUCGCCAAGAAGCACCAAAUUCUCAGCCUUGAGGUGCGGACUUGUAUCAAGAUUCACAGAAGACGACGAAACAAGAAAACUUCCGAGCAUUUGAGCAGAAGCGAACAAGCCAUGAUCCAACAGAGUGGUCAUGUAGUCUUUCGGGACGUCCAUUGAUUGAUGAUGAGAAUUCAGUUUGAUG
rnacentral:misc_RNA from 1 species